UACGAAGGGGGCUAGCGUUGCUCGGAAUGACUGGGCGUAAAGGGCGCGUAGGCGGAUGGCACAGUCAGAUGUGAAAUUCCCGGGCUUAACCUGGGGGCUGCAUUUGAUACGUGUUGUCUUGAGUUCGGAAGAGGGUCGUGGAAUUCCCAGUGUAGAGGUGAAAUGCGUAGAUAUCGGAAGGAACACCUGUGGCGAAAGCGGCUCACUGGACCAUUACUGACGCUGAUGCACGAAAGCUAGGGGAGCAAACAGG
rnacentral:rRNA from 1 species